rnacentral:rRNA from 1 species
GAUGAACGCUGGCGGCGUGCCUAAUACAUGCAAGUCGAGCGAACAGACGAGGAGCUUGCUCCUCUGACGUUAGCGGCGGACGGGUGAGUAACACGUGUAUAACCUACCUAUCAGACUGGGAUCACUUCGGGAAACCGGAGCUAAUACCGGAUAAUAUAUUGAACCGCAUUGUUCAAUAGUGAAAGACGGCUUUGCUGUCACUUAUAGCUGGAUACGGGCCGCAUUAGCUAGUUGGUACGGUAACGGCUUACCAAGGCAACGAUGCGUAGCCGACCUGAGAGGGUGAUCGGCCACCCUGGAACUGAGACACGGUCCAGACUCCUACGGGAGGCAGCAGUCGGGAAUCUUCCGCAAUGGGCGAAAGCCUGACGGAGCAACGCCGCGUGAGUGAUGAAGGUCUUCGGAUCGUAAAACUCUGUUAUUAGGGAAGAACAAAUGUGUAAGUAACUAUGCACGUCUUGACGGUACCUAAUCAGAAAGCCACGGCUAACUACGUG